rnacentral:rRNA from 1 species
CCUACGGGUGGCAGCAGUGGGGAAUAUUGCGCAAUGGGCGAAAGCCUGACGCAGCGACGCCGCGUGAGGGAUGAAGGUCUUCGGAUCGUAAACCUCUGUCAGCAGGGAAGAACGGUCACUGUGCUGAUCAGCAGUGAAUUGACGGUACCUGCAACGGAAGCACCGGCUAAAUCCGUGCCAGCAGCCGCGGGAAUACGGCGGGGGCGGGCGUUAAUCGGAAUUACUGGGCGCUUAAGUCAGGUGGGAAAACUCCGGGCUAAACCUGGAGACUGCACGUGAAACUGGGUGUCUUGAGUGCAGGAGAGGAAAGUGGAAUUCCUAGUGUAGCGGUGAAAUGCGUAGAUAUUAGGAGGAACACCAGUGGCGAAGGCGGCUUUCUGGACUGUAACUGACGCUGAGGCGCGAAAGCGUGGGGAGCGAACGGGAUUAGAUACCCUUGUAGUC